UCCAAAAUUGACACGUAACCUACCUUCCAAAACGACGCCAUGGACAUCAAUCUCCAUUCAGAACGACUCCUUUUCCAUUGUGUCGUACCGUCGUAUCGAUUAAUCAGCGUUGUAGGUAAUCGAUUUCAUUUUCAUUUCAUCACACGCCCUUUGUCAUUGUCAAUUCCUUAGAUAGGGGUUAGGUUCGCGUGAAAAUGUCUUCGCAAAAUAUGUACCUGAAUUGCAUUCCACUUAACAUGGUGAGGCGACAUUGUUUUCUGGAAGCGUCAUCUCCAAUGGAAGAAUUCCUGUGGAUUAUCUUGGUAAUUUGCUACUAUUGUUUUAAUUUCAAUUUCAAUAAAACCGAACUGGGUGCAAUGUUCUUUUUUCUUUUUGACGUCAAGGAUUUAUAAGGGGCAGUUGAAAUUCAUUUGAAACUGAAGCAUUAGAGAGAUUACAUUUCAAGCACCCAAGAAGAACAAGAAGCAAUCCACUAUGGUUCUACACUUGCUUUUUCUUAUUUUCUAUGAAAAGUAGAAGGAAGACAAAUUACUACUUGAUUGUGGAUUCAGGUAUAGUUUUAUGAUUGAAUAUUAUAUAGACUAGCCUUAAUUUCAAAAUUAAAGACAAAAAUCAGGAUUACAAAAUGUUCUUAUCUUUGGAGAGGCCAACUCUCUCCCUGAACUUCCGUUCUCUAAAUUCAAUUUCAAGAUAAUCACCAACUAACUCCAAACUCCUAUUUAAACUACCCGAAGCCGAGUUUCAUUGUGUUUCAUUGUGUUUUUUUUGCAAGAGUCUUUGAUUAUGACAACAAAAUAUUCAUAUUGUUGGUAUCCCAUACUAAUUCAUUGGAGUAUAGAAAGAUAAUCUUUUAUAUGAACAAUAGUAAAAAAAAAUAAAGAAAAGAAAAUUCGAAACCAAAUACAAUUUGAUUGCAUUGUCAAUUAUUCCCCACUAAAAUAUGUAAUUGUGUAAUACUUUUCGAGCUUUCUCCAACUAAUUAUCCUCUAUUAAAAUACUAGACAUAUAUUCUUGUUUGUGGGUGCGGGAUUUUAGAACCAGAUCAUCUCCGUUAGUCCUUGAGUCAUUCUUCCAUGGCUAACAAAUUGUAAGUAUAAAGUUCAAGUAAACAUAUGCUUGUAACAACAACUUUAAACAAUUAUGUUGAAUUGAACAUUCGACUUAGUGGUUUUUUGUGAUCAGUGAGAUCUUUCGUGAUGGAAGUGAAAUCAUGAUAUAUGUUGUCUCUUCUAGGUACGUAAAGUUCUUCCAUGCCUAGAAGGUAUAUUAUGGUUUUAGUAAUCAAUUCUAUCUUCUAUAUGCUCGAAUUUUCAUUUGUGUACCCAUUUUUUUUUCCGAGUUUCAAUCGAAGGAGCCUCGGUUGUUAUUUAUUAUUAUUAUGCUAUGUUUUCAAAAUUUUAUUGUUUACUUGGCUCGCUUAUAGCUAUUGACUAUUGAAGGAUUUAUCCGAUAUAUCCCUUAUGAAAAACCCCUCUAUCAUAGUCUGAGUUUAUUGGUUGAACUAUUUCUUAUUCAAGACAAAGAUGAAAGCCUACUAUUUGGUCACUCUUAAUAUUAUAUUUUUAAAAGCUCUUGUUUAGAGAGGAUAAGGACAUCGAUAAAGUUACCUGGAAAGUAUAGAUGUUUUGAUAUUCAAUGGGUAAUUAUGACAUGUUGUCUAAUUUACUUUUCAUACAACACCUUUAUCACCAUUAUGUACCUUUUUAUUGUUAAUUUUUUAUAUAUAUAUUUCCCUUUUUUGUGAUGUAUAUGAUAUAACCAUCUUGGAGUUUCUUUGGUUUUUUUAAUUCUAAAAGAAACCCCAUGUGUUAUAUAAUUUUGCAUCCAAAGUUAACAAUUUAUGAUGUUUGCAGUUAUUUUCCAAGAGUAAAUUAGUGUUGGUUCAAGAUAUUUGUCGGUUGUUAGUUAUCUAUUUGUUUUAAUUUCAGUUUAUGCAUAGCUAAACUACUAAUCUGCCGAACACAUCACAUUGUUUUCAAAAUUGAAUAGGCAAUUACAGAAAGACCUCAAUAGAGUGAGCGCCAAUCCUCCAUUAUAAGGAAAGAAGCAUAAAAAGCUACAUUCACCAAAUAAAAAGAUGUUAUGUGGGAAUGGAAAAUGAAAGUGCAAGAGGGUGAAGAGAGAUUAUGUGAAGAGCGUAAAACAUUCACUUCAACCAGUGAACGAAAUGGAGAGGUCCCUUAAACAGAAGGAGAACAAACUUGAAAAAAUAAAUAAUAAAAAUUAAAUCGAACAUUUUACUAUCAAAGAAGAGGGAAGAUGAUCGUUAAAGUGGAGGGUCCAAUCAUUUCUGUUAAUUUAGUUGUUCAAAAGUCAAAUGAUUUCAUCUUGUUUUCUUUUCGCUUCAGCAAUGCUAAUUAAGGCGGUUAGAAAACCCUUGAACUUUAAGGGAAAAAGAGUCGCUCAAUUGAGAAGUUGACCAAGUUUUUUACUUUUGUAGAUAAAUUACAAAAAUGAUCAUUUCCUUUAUGUUUUUACCAUAUUUAGUCUAUAAUCUAAACUUUUUCAAUUUUGUCUUUGAAUUUAGCAUCAUGUUAAUUUUUUUGCUAUUUACAUACACAAUCUUGAAGCUUUAAUAGUAUGUAAGAU